rnacentral:misc_RNA from 1 species
UUUCCGUAGGUGAACCUGCGGAAGGAUCAUUGACGCUUUUUUUUUCCAAGAAAAAAACGAAAGUAAAAAUUUUGUUUUUUUUAGCUAUUUUUAGUGAAAUGUUAAUUUUUAUGUGAUAUUUUUUAUUAAGUAUCACAUUAUUUUUAAACAACCUUUAUUUAAAUAAUUAAUUUGAAAGAGUGAUUUUAUAUUAAAAACAUAAGACAACUUUCAACAACGGAUCUCUUGGCUCUC